rnacentral:rRNA from 1 species
GACGAACGCUGGCGGUGUGCUUAACACAUGCAAGUCGAGCGAGAACCUGGGGAGGGGUAACCCACUCCAGGGGAGAGCGGCGAACGGGUGAGUAACACGUGGGCAACCUGCCCCUGACUCUGGGAUAACCCCGGGAAACCGGAGCUAAUACCGGAUACUCCCGGCGGAUCGCAUGAUCUGCCGGGGAAAGAUCCGUCGGUCAGGGAUGGGCCCGCGGCCUAUCAGCUUGUUGGUGGGGUAACGGCCUACCAAGGCUUCGACGGGUAGUUGGCGUGAGAGCGUGGCCAACCACACUGGGACUGAGACACGGCCCAGACUCCUACGGGAGGCAGCAGUGGGGAAUCUUGCGCAAUGGGCGAAAGCCUGACGCAGCGACACCGCGUGCGGGACGAAGGCCUUCGGGUCGUAAACCGCUUUCGGCAGGGACGAAGCGAAAGUGACGGUACCUGCAGAAGAAGGUCCGGCUAACUACGUGCCAGCAGCCGCCGUAAGAC